CCUACGGGUGGCAGCAGUGAGGAAUAUUGGUCAAUGGACGCAAGUCUGAACCAGCCAAGUAGCGUGCAGGAUGACGGCCCUCCGGGUUGUAACUGCUUUUAGUUGGGAAUAAAAGGGGGCUCGUGAUCCCCGUAUUGUAUGUACCAUCAGAAAAAGGACCGGCUAAUUCCGUGCCAGCAGCCGCGGUAAUACGGAAGGUCCGGGCGUUAUCCGGAUUUUUUGGGUUUAAAGGGAGCGUAGGCCGGCUUUUAAGUCAGCUGUGAAAGUCCGGGCUCAACCCUGGCCGGCCGUUGAAACUGGGGAUCUUGAGUGGGCGAGAAGGAUGCGGAAUGCGUGGUGUAGCGGUGAAAUGCAUAGAUAUCACGAAGAACUCCGAUUGCGAAGGCAGCAUACCGGCGCCCGACUGACGCUGAGGCACGAAAGCGUGGGGAGCGAAAAGGAUUAGAUACCCCAGUAGUC
rnacentral:rRNA from 1 species